rnacentral:rRNA from 1 species
AUAUCAAUAAGCGGAGGAAAGAAACAUAACAAGGAUUCCCCUAGUAACUGCGAGUGAAGCGGGAAAAGCUCAAAUUUAAAAUCUGGCGGUCUACGGCCGUCCGAGUUGUAAUCUAGAGGAGCGUUUUCCGCGCUGGACCGUGCACAAGUCUCCUGGAAUGGAGCGUCAUAGAGGGUGAGAAUCCCGUCUUUGGCACGGAUGCACCAGGCUUUUGUGAUGCGCUCUCGAAGAGUCGAGUUGUUUGGGAAUGCAGCUCAAAAUGGGUGGUGAACUCCAUCUAAAGCUAAAUAUUGGCGAGAGACCGAUAGCGCACAAGUA